CUAUAUGCCAAGUGGAGUACCCUUCUGACUGCAUUGAGAUGCAUGCUAGUUUAUGUGGAGAGAGGCCACUAGAGUCUCUGGACAUGACUGACAAAGAAGAGCACUUUAGUAUAUUGGAUAUUGAAGCAGGGGAAGGACCAUCUGGUACAACUUCCCAAAACAUACCUUUUCAGAAUGAGCCAGCUAAUUCAUCUGCAGAACUUUUUGAUAAUGCUGAAAAAGCAGAGGAAUGGAAGACUACACCAGACCCGGCGAGGGCAGCACGCUCGUACAGGGAAACUGUGCUCCACACUCAUGCAUCAGGGAAACCACUGCACUUGCAUGUUGAUCUCAGAAGCAUCAUCUCAGAACAAGAAAUGGCUUUGAUUGCUUUUUAUAAAGCAGGCAGCAUAGACUGGGCGAGGCCUCUUCAA